CUUAGAGGGGACUGAGAAGCAGCAUCUCUGGGAAGGGGGGCUAAGCAGGUUCUUGAAGAAGGGAACGUGGUGGCUGUCGUACUUCGAUGUUCCAGAAAAGCCGAAGGCCUCUGAUCUGCCUGGAACGGAAAGAGACUGGUGAGGUCAGGCUCCACUUUAAUGGGGGCCAAUAAACGCCUCCCUGGAGGCCACAAGGGGCGAGGUGUGUGUUCCCACAGACAAACAGCAUUCCUAAAAAGAGAUUUUUCCGUGCUUCCCUCGCUCCCCUCCACCCUACCACUGCCUCCCCCCCCCCCCCCCCCACCCCAGGCCCAGGGAUCUCACCCAAAGAGCUCAGCCCGGUCUCUCCCAACAUCCAGGACAUUUCCCCACCCUCAACUCUCGUGUUCUGGGAUGUAGCCCGACUCCUUUGUUUCCUUCAACCACGGCCCAAAAUGAGAAGAGCUAGGCAGGAGGGGGGCUGUGGGACAUCGGGCAGCGACAAUUACCCUGCUUAGAAUGGCCCUGACCACAGGCACGUGGAUCAGGCAGGGUCUCAACAGGAAGCAAUUAGGAUAGUUUGAGAAGUAUUUAUGUACAAAGGGCCCAUCAACAGAGAUGUGGGUGUAGGGUAACCACAGGGUUAGCCAAGAAGCAGAAACUGUUAGCACCCGACUUGUUACCACCCUGGACCAAAGGAACAGGAGGAGAUCAUGGUUACCCAAACUGCAAAGGGGGACAGAGGUGAGUAGAGAAGGAGCAGAGGGGCGCCUGGGUGGCUCCGUCGGUUAAGCGUCUGACUUUUCCGCUCAGGUCCUGAUCUCAUGGCUCAUGGGUUCAAGCCCGCCGUGGGCUCCUCCAAGCGCGGUGGCCCUCGCAUUCUUAAGGCAAAGGUUUAGAGGGAGGAGGAAAGAAAAAAGAAUGAAAUCCGAAAUGCUCCAAAGACGAAGGCCGAAUCACGCCCUAGCUAUUUUUCACAUCCUCAGCAGGAAGCGUGCACAGCGAGCCUUACCGUCUUCUUUAUUGCGGCCUUUGUACUGGUAAUAAAAAUACCCAUAGCUGGCACAUGCA